rnacentral:rRNA from 1 species
CCUACGGGGUGCAGCAGUGAGGAAUAUUGGUCAAUGGCCGCAGGGCUGAACCAGCCAAGUCGCGUGAGGGAUGACGGUCCUAUGGAUUGUAAACCUCUUUUGUCAGGGAGCAAAGGGCGCCACGUGUGGCGCUUUGCGAGUACCUGACGAAAAAGCAUCGGCUAACUCCGUGCCAGCAGCCGCGGUAAUACGGAGGAUGCGAGCGUUAUCCGGAUUUAUUGGGUUUAAAGGGUGCGCAGGCGGAAUGUCAAGUCAGCGGUAAAAUUUCGGGGCUCAACCCCGUCGUGCCGUUGAAACUGGCGUUCUUGAGUGAGCGAGAAGUAUGCGGAAUGCGUGGUGUAGCGGUGAAAUGCAUAGAUAUCACGCAGAACUCCGAUUGCGAAGGCAGCAUACCGGCGCUCAACUGACGCUCAUGCACGAAAGCGUGGGUAUCGAACAGGAUUAGAUACCCGAGUAGUC